UCGCUCAGGUCCUUCCUCAGUUAACCGCAACAAUCUUUCGCCUUUUACUAAAGAUUGCCGCGGGGAAGGACAUCCUAAUGAGCCACUAGGCCAAUUUUUGGGAGGCCUUGCCCAUUUGGGCGAA
rnacentral:snRNA from 1 species